GAUGAAGAACGUAGCGAAACGCGAUACGUAAUGUGAAUUGCAGAAUUCAGUGAAUCAUCGAAUCUUUGAACGCACAUUGCGCCCGCCAGUAUUCUGGCGGGCAUGCCUGUUCGAGCGUCAUUACAACCCUCAGGCCCCCGGGCCUGGCGUUGGGGAUCGGCGGAAGCCCCCUGCGGGCACAACGCCGUCCCCCAAAUACAGUGGCGGUCCCGCCGCAGCUUCCAUUGCGUAGUAGCUAACACCUCGCAACUGGAGAGCGGCGCGGCCACGCCGUAAAACACCCAACUUCUGAAUGUUGACCUCGAAUCAGGUAGGAAUACCCGCUGAACUUAAGCAUAUCAAUAAGCGGAGGA
rnacentral:misc_RNA from 1 species